GUCGCUAAAUAUGUUUUUAAUCAGAAUUAAACCGAUUUUAAUAUUGUAUAUGUAGUAGGUUGGAAAAGGCUCCAUCUAAAGUUUUAUGGAUAAACAGACACCCCCAUUAUUUUUUUGUAUUUUCUAAUGUGUUUUAUUGUGGGUACAUCCGCACCACUAGAGGGCGCUCUAAGCGCUACUGUGGGGACCAGCGGGACGAAGCACAGGUGCCGCUUCAGAAUUAAACGAGCUGUGGCGACACUGACACGUCUCCUCCUCAGGAAAGAAGGGGAGAAGAGAGAGAUAUGUUCAACCUAAGGUAAGGAGGAUCUAACGCCUGUAGUCGAAUGAUCCAUCUCCUCACCGCUCGUUUCCGCUGUAGGGUGGACCAGCAAUCUCUGCCCUCCAUGUCUCCAUACCCGAGAUGCUCCAAAACAAACAUUUAACAGUGCCCAUGAAAUAAGAUCUCACCAGGGACCUGACAGAAAAGAAGGGGAGAAGAGAGAGACGUUCAACCAAAGGUAAGAGAGAUCUCGCUGGAACCUGCCCGGAAAGAAGGGGAGAAGAGAAAGGAAAAGAAAAAGAAAUUUGACCAAAGGUAAGGAGGAUCAAAUGGUCACCCAGGUAGGUAAGUAUGGGAAGGUAAGUAGGUAAAGGGAAACAGGUAAGUAAAAAACGGAAACUUGGGGUUAGGAAAGAGGAAAAGGGGAAAACUUAGGGUUAGGGGGGAGGAGGUUGGGGUUAGGAAAGGGGAAGGGGGGAGAAAGGUUAGGGUUAG